rnacentral:tRNA from 1 species
GGAGGUGAGGCCCCGUGGACAGGAAAGGUCCAGGUGAGCGCGGGUCUGUGUCGCGAGAUCGCGACGCUCUUGAAAACCGUCGUGGCAGCGAUGUCACCGUGGGUUCAAAUCCCACCGCCUCCG